AUUGAACGCUGGCGGCAGGCCUAACACAUGCAAGUCGAACGGUAACAGGAAGCAGCUUGCUGCUUUGCUGACGAGUGGCGGACGGGUGAGUAAUGUCUGGGAAACUGCCCGAUGGAGGGGGAUAACUACUGGAAACGGUAGCUAAUACCGCAUAACGUCGCAAGACCAAAGAGGGGGACCUUAGGGCCUCUUGCCAUCGGAUGUGCCCAGAUGGGAUUCGCUAGUAGGUGGGGUAACGGCUCACCUAGGCGACGAUCCCUAGCUGGUCUGAGAGGAUGACCAGCCACACUGGAACUGAGACACGGUCCAGACUCCUACGGGAGGCAGCAGUGGGGAAUAUUGCACAAUGGGCGCAAGCCUGAUGCAGCCAUGCCGCGUGUAUGAAGAAGGCCUUCGGGUUGUAAAGUACUUUCAGCGGGGAGGAAGGGAGUAAAGUUAAUACCUUUGCUCAUUGACGUUACCCGCAGAAGAAGCACCGGCUAACUCCGUG
rnacentral:rRNA from 1 species